rnacentral:rRNA from 1 species
GACGAACGCUGGCGGCGUGCUUAACACAUGCAAGUCGAACGGAAAGGCCCUGCUUGCAGGGUGCUCGAGUGGCGAACGGGUGAGUAACACGUGGGUGAUCUGCCCCUUACUUUGGGAUAAGCCUGGGAAACUGGGUCUAAUACUGGAUAGGACCAUGCUGUAGGUGGUGUGGUGGAAAGAUUAGUUUCGGUAAGGGAUGAGCUCGCGGCCUAUCAGCUUGUUGGUGGGGUAAUGGCCUACCAAGGCGUCGACGGGUAGCCGGCCUGAGAGGGUGGACGGCCAGAUUGGACCUGGGAGAGGGCCCGGAGUCUUACGGGGGGCAGCAGGGGGGAAAAUUGCACAAUGGCGGCAAGCGUGUUGCAAGGAGGCCGCGUGGGGGGUAAGGGCCUUCGGGUGGUAAAAACCUUUCGGCCAUGAGAAAGCCUUGUGGUGACGGUAGUGGUAGAAGAAGCACCGGCUAACUACGUG